GAUGAACGCUGGCGGCGUGCUUAACACAUGCAAGUCGAACGGAAAGGCUCCUGCUUGCAGGGGUACUCGAGUGGCGAACGGGUGAGUAACACGUGGGUGAUCUGCCCUGCACUUCGGGAUAAGCCUGGGAAACUGGGUCUAAUACCGGAUAGGACGAUGGUUUGGAUGCCAUUGUGGAAAGUUUUUCGGUGUGGGAUGAGCUCGCGGCCUAUCAGCUUGUUGGUGGGGUAAUGGCCUACCAAGGCGUCGACGGGUAGCAGGCCUGAGAGGGUGUACGGCCACAUUGGGACUGAGAUACGGCCCAGACUCCUACGGGAGGCAGCAGUGGGGAAUAUUGCACAAUGGGCGCAAGCCUGAUGCAGCGACGCCGCGUGGGGGAUGACGGCCUUCGGGUUGUAAACUCCUUUCGCUAGGGACGAAGCGCAAGUGACGGUACCUGGAGAAGAAGCACCGGCUAACUACGUG
rnacentral:rRNA from 1 species